GCGAACGGGUGAGUAACACGUGAGUAACCUGCCCUUGACUUUGGGAAUAACUUCAGGAAACUGGGGCUAAUACCGGAUAGGAGCUCCUGCUGCAUGGUGGGGGUUGGAAAGUUUCGGCGGUUGGGGAUGGACUCGCGGCUUAUCAGCUUGUUGGUGGGGUAGUGGCUUACCAAGGCUUUGACGGGUAGCCGGCCUGAGAGGGUGACCGGCCACAUUGGGACUGAGAUACGGCCCAGACUCCUACGGGAGGCAGCAGUGGGGAAUAUUGCACAAUGGGCGGAAGCCUGAUGCAGCAACGCCGCGUGCGGGAUGACGGCCUUCGGGUUGUAAACCGCUUUCGCCUGUGACGAAGCGUGAGUGACGGUAAUGGGUAAAGAAGCACCGGCUAACUACGUGCCAGCAGCCGCGGUGAUACGUAGGGUGCGAGCGUUGUCCGGAUUUAUUGGGCGUAAAGGGCUCGUAGGUGGUUGAUCGCGUCGGAAGUGUAAUCUUGGGGCUUAACCCUGAGCGUGCUUUCNAUACGGGUUGACUUGAGGAAGGUAGGGGAGAAUGGAAUUCCUGGUGGAGCGGUGGAAUGCGCAGAUAU
rnacentral:rRNA from 1 species